UACAAUAUUAUCGUUUAUCGCAAUAAUUUCUGGGAAAAUAUAUCGUCCUGAAACUUUUGUUGCAGGGUCAGGUGUGUUACAGGGUCAGGUGUGGUGCAGGGUCAGGUGUGUUACAGGGUCAGGUGUGUUACAGGGUCAGGUGUGUUACAGGGUCAGGUGUGGUGCAGGGUCAGGUGUGUUACAGGGUCAGGUGUGGUGCAGGGUCAGGUGUGUUACAGGGUCAGGUGUGGUGCAGGGUCAGGUGUGUUACAGGGUCAGGUGUGGUGCAGGGUCAGGUGUGGUGCAGGGUCAGGUGUGUUGCAGGGUCAGGUG